rnacentral:tRNA from 111 species
GGGUUCUUAGCUCAGUUGGUAGAGCAGCGGACUCUUAAUCCGUAGGUCGAGUGUUCGAGUCACUCAGGACCCACCA